CUCCAAGACGCACCUCAUCUCAAAGUACUUUUAUUAGAAUAGCACCUGGCACAUUCUGUGCAAUUCUGAAACUAAAAGUUUUCCCGGACUUCCAGGAUAUAUUUUU